AGGGUCUAUAGUCCAAGCUCUGUUUUAAAAUAUAUUAUUGCUAUUGCUUUGCUAUUCUCUUUGUCUGUAAGUGCUUAGGAAAUAUGCCCAAGGAUCUUUUUUCUUUUCUUUUUUUUUUUUUUUUUUUUUUGUUUUUUGAGGAAUGAAGCGUCUCAUUUCCAUUUCCAGUGAUAUAAAUGGUAUGAACCAACUAAGAUGGUAUCAUCAUUCAGUGGGUGAAGAUCACACCUUCAGACACAGUAGCAGUGUGAGCUGUGAGGACCAUAGGAAAGGAGGCAGAUGCCUGGAAGGAAGGAGUGAGUGCUCUUGCCCAGAUGACUGGGGAGAUAAUCUUUGCAGCACAACUGUCCCAAGGGGGUCUAUGGAGCUGGCUGCUCUUCAGAAUGUCAGUGUGUGGAGGAGAACACCCUGGAAUGCAGUGCCAAAAAUGGCACUUGCACCUGCAAAUCUGGUUACCAAGGCAACGGAUGCCAGAAAGCCUGCUCUGCUGGCCUCUGGGGACUGGAGUGCCAGCUCUCCUGUGGACCCUGUGAGAAUGAAAGUCAGUGCAACAAAAGAACUGGAAACUUCAAUUGUCCUCCUGGUUACACAGGAAAAGCCUGUACCACACGACUGUCAUUCUGGUACUGUUGACAAGCAUCUCAAGCAGCAUAAAAGUGUGCUGGAGCAGCAGUUGGCUAUCCCUAACUUACAUUUUUGCUUAAAAAAAAAAAAAAAGACCUUAAAGGUAAGAAUUUACAUAUUCAAAAGGUAGUUACUAGCUAUUUCCACAGCGAAGUGACAUUUUCUCUUGUC
ensembl:lncRNA